UACAGAGGGGGCAAGCGUUAUUCGGAAUUAUUGGGCGUAAAGGGCGCGUAGGCGGCUUGGCAAGUGGAUGGUGAAAUACCUCGGCUUAACCGAGGAACUGCCGUCCAAACUGCUUCGCUUGAGACCGGGAGAGGUGAGUGGAAUUCCCAGUGUAGCGGUGAAAUGCGUAGAUAUUGGGAGGAACACCAGUGGCGAAGGCGGCUCACUGGACCGGUACUGACGCUGAUGCGCGAAAGCGUGGGGAGCAAACGGG
rnacentral:rRNA from 1 species